GGAAGCGCUCCAGGCGCUCCCGCUGCGGCGUCCGGCACGGCACCCCCGGCGCCCCCGGGCCCUGCCGGCGCGCAGCCGUCACCGUCGGGAUGGGGACAGCCAUGGGGACAGCCGUGGGGACGGGGAUGACCGGGGGAUGGCCAUGGGGAUGGGGACAGUGACAGGGACACCCAUGGGGACAGGGACAACCCAGGCGAGUGCCCUUGGCGCCCCCGGGCCCUGCCGGCGCACACAGGCGUCACCAUCAUGGGGAUGGGGACAGCAACGGGGACACCCAUGGGGAUGGAGACGGCCAUGGGGACGGCCAUGGGGACGGGGAUGGCCAUGGGGAUGGCCAUACGGAUGACUAUGGGGAUGGAAACAGCGAUGGGGAUGGCCAUGGGGACGCAGACGCCCAUGGGGACAGCCAUGGGGACAGGGACAACCUGGGUGAGUGCCCCUGGGCCCCGCCGGCCCGCAGCCGUCACCGUCAGGAUGGGGACAGCCAUGGGGACAGCCGUGGGGAUGCAGACGGCCAUGGGGACGGCCAUGGGGAUGACUAUAGGGAUGGGGACAGCGAUGGGGACGCCCAUGGGGAUGCAGACGCCCAUGGGGACAGCCAUGGGGACAGGGACAGCGAUGGGCACAGCGAUGGGGACGCCCAUGGGGACGUGGACGCCCAUGGGGACAGCGAUGGGGACAGGGACAACCCAACGAGCGCCCCAGGACACCGGCCGCACGGGGACUGAGGGCACCUGGUCCUGGCUCAGUGCUGGGAACAAGCCUGGGGGCACUGGGGGAUCCUGGUGACAGCCCCGGGGACACUGGAGGACCCUAAGGGCAACCUUGGGGACGUCGGGGACAGCUCUGGGGCUACUGGUGGCCCACGGGGGCAACUCCGGGGACGCUGGGGACAAUCCGGGGACACGGGGGGCCAGCGGGGCCAACCCUGGGGGUGCCAGGCGGGACGGGGACGCAGCGGGGACGCGGGGGGGGACACAGCGGGGACUCACCUCGGCGCCGGGGGGGCCGGAGCCCGGGGGCGGCACCUCGGGGGGCUCCAGCUCCGCCGGCCCCACGUGGCCCCAGGGCGUCCCGUCCGCCGCCUCCGCCUGCGGGACCCGCGUCAGCACCCGGACGCCUGGGCCCCGGGAGCCGCCUGUCCCGGACGCCUGGGCCCUGGGACCUCCCUGUCCCGGACGCCUGGGCCC
rnacentral:lncRNA from 1 species